UUCUCCGUUUUUAUUCCCUAACUGCAUCGUCAUUUUAAGUUAAUUAUCCCUACAAAACUAUCUAUUUAAAUAUUGUUUAACCAAUCGACUAUCUGUUCACCUUGUUUUAUCUCUACAAAACUCUAAUGUAAUCUCAUCUUCAUCUUAACUUAGCUUAUCACGUUUUAAUCUGGUUUUAGUUCAAUUGAUAAAGCGAAGAUCCAUUAACACCCUGUUUAGAAAAGUAAAUAUGAGAUUUGUAUACUUACAGUAGUUUAGAAAUUAUUAAAUUUUAGAAACUAAUAGUGAGAUAUAUGAUUGAAGAUCAAAUUCCGUGAAUGAAUCAAGGUGUUGACAGGAUUAACAAAAAGCGUAGACGCAAUAAAACUGAACCAGCUAAAAGAAGUAUACAUGGAACCAGCUAAAAGAACGAAGAAAGAAGGAUGAGAGUUUCAAAUGCGAUUGAAGCUGCAUUAGCUUACAAUGAUGCUUCCAGAAAAAUGUAUGAAGAAUGUAUGGGGAAACUGUUAGAAAACAAAAGAGGUUUACGGAAUGAUGCUUCCAGAAAACACUCUUUUUGAUUCAAUGGACUAAUAAAAAACACUCUUUUUGAUU